GUCGUAUUAAACUAAUAUAAUAUAAGUUAGCUAAAGGAGGAAUGAUGAACAAAUAAAUGAAGAGUGUACACAUAUUUUGCAUUAUAGGCCGUUGCAUGAAUAAGCGCUCCAAAAUAUUCCUAGUUGCUUUUUAGCUAAAGGCCACGUGGUCUAACAUAUAGUGCAGUUGACCUACUGAGAAGGUGCUCUGGUCAGGUACCUUAAAGGAUUGUCACCUGCGUGAACUGUAUGUCAUGUCUGGUGUCUGUAUGGAGUGUUUAUUCGUGAAUGAAUGACUUGAAAUAUUUAUGUUGGCCCACGGAUUGUGUGCUGUGUGGUCUUA